AAAAUCUGUAUCCAUUCUGUGAAUGAAAAGUGGCAGUAUAGACUAGUUUUCACACUUGUAAAAGUGAUUGCGCAGUGAUCUGUUCGUUAGGACUAUUUGACAUGGAUGUGUCGCAAAUUCUACACGCUGCCGUGAGUGUCGGCCAGCUGAUCGGCUUAGCAAUAAGGGGACUAUCCGGCGUAAUAUCGCAUCGUAGAAAAGCCAAAUUAGCUGCUAAGUUGGAAGCCAUCAAACAAUCACAUGAAGCAGCUAUGCAGGAAAUGCCUAGUAAGCUUGAAACAAGCUUGGAACAAAACAGAGCCAACUACGAACGGCAGCUGUAUCAAAUGCGCCAUGCUUCUACCGCGGACAGGCAACAGCUAGAAAAACGAUUUCUACGUGAACAGGAAGAAAUUAAAAAUAAGUGGACAACUGACCGACAGCACUACGAACAAAGAAUCAAUGGGUUGCUCCACAGCGUCCAACAAGCUGAAGAGCGGGUGAACUUCCUGGCGGAGCAACUCCAAAAGCCGACAAAAGAUCGCGCACGGAAAGUCGCAUUAGUGAACGGUUUGCAGUUACAGAUUCGACGCACACAGUCGCUGUUGCUCGUUGGUCCAAAAGGUACCGGUAAGAGCACCUUUUUAUGGCUAUUAAAUAAAGGCGCCAUGCCAAGACGGACAAUGGGUGAUGGAACCAGCGAGAUUCUUCGUUUGGAUGGCUAUAUCGAUUCCAUUGGACUACGCGGAUGGACGCCGGAAGAACUGUGGAAACUGCUGGUUCUCAUGAUUUAUAACGGAAUGCCUCGCGACAUCAUUAUUUUCAGCAACGAUCGCGUCGAUCUUCCGGUGACUUCGCUCGGUCUGCUCGGCAUAACUAAUCCGAUGAUUGUUGUUAUGUCCGGUGACUUUUGGAGAAACUAUCAGCCGCUUGAUGGUCGAAGACAAAAAAUUGAGCUAAUUGAGGAUGAUGAGGGUGUACGCUGGGUGUGUCCUGAGUCGGACUUAGAUCAAGUUUACAAUCAGCCGGUUUACAAGGACAUCCGGGAGUACCAUUUAGGAACACCCAUUACCCAUCACGAAGAUAUAGCUUUUCUUGUCGGCAAACGCGAAAGCGUGGGCAUUCGGCCGUUCCAGUUUCUGAUGGAUAAACUAGGACACUGCUUCACAGUGGGAGAUGGUACCGAUUACAAUAUGGAAGCUCUUUUUCGUUUCAUUUAUAUUUAUGAAACCAAGUAUCGGCGGGAUGAACUCAGUUUCAUGAAUAAUGCAUCGCUACAAGAUUUUUUUGACGGAGGUAUAUUAUUGUCUGUUGACCUUGUCUGUAAUUUUACUGUUAUUCUUUAGUACACUGGCAGAAACAUUCAGAUGGGUUUGUAAAAAGCGUACCCUGGACAUCUAACGCCAUGCAGGGAAACAUUGAUCAAAGUAGACCGGAACGCAGAUUAAGCUCCUCCAUUCCGAAUGGGUCGACGCGUCGCCCUGAUGCACCAGGUCGUUAUUGUGGAAGUAGCGCUGUGCCGCAGUCUGGUGGGGCACGAGCGCAGCAACUGGAGCAACAGUGUCUAACCGUUCAGGAAACAAUGUUAGCUACAACACUGUUAAUCGGACCGAUACACACGUCGACGUCACGGUUUCUUGCGACUCCUGCGGAAUGUUGCUGUUCGGCACUCGAUAUAAAUGUCUAGGAUGUCCAAAUUACGAUCUUUGCGAAAGCUGCAUGUUAAAAGGAUAUCAUUCCCAACAUUCGUUUUUGGUGUUGCGCACGACGCCCAUCGGUUUUGUAAGCGAUGUUCCUCUACAAUCUUAUCAUAAAAGAGCGUGUUUAUUAUAGAGCAUGAAAAUUUUAUUCUGGCAAAAAGAGAUUGGAAAAUCAACGAACCGUGUUUUGGUCAGGAUACAUUCUUUCAAUCCGCGCAGUUAGAAAAGAUUGUGGAAAACACGGAAACGGGGGAGGGCGAUACCGAACCUUGGGGUCAUGAAGUAAUAUGCGAUGAGUGCCGUGCCUAUCCGAUUAUCGGCACACAAUUUAGGUGCAUGCUUUGUGAACCCAGUUAUGAUCUGUGUGCGGAAUGCAUGGCGGAGGGAUAUCAUACGCAUCACGACUUUCUUGCCAUCCGAACACCUGAUUCAGGAACGAUGGUUGAAUUUUGGCAAGAAGUUUUUGCGGAAAAGUUUCCUGACCCAGGUUAUUUUCCUGACGAUUCCGAUCCGGAUAUUGGCCCUAAUAAUGAGCACUAUUUGGACAACAUUAUGGCGCCGACAAACGACAAUCAGCACGAACACUCCGACAACAUCGAAGUAUCCGCCAGUAACCUUUACGAAAACGAUAAUUAUGAACAUGUCCUCAGCGAAUUCACAGGAAACGACAAUGCAGAUUACAACUUUAGUGUGAUUGCUUUGGAUGAUUAUAAUUACGACAGUGAUUUCGAUGACACCGUUUUGUACGACGCUGGAAACUAAAAUUGUAUGCCCGGAGCAGUAACAGUAAGCGGUAAAAUUAAUGUUGUGUCAAUAAUAACUUCGUUGAUUCUGGUUGCAAAAUGCUUGCAUAAGUGAAAAUGCACUCGCAGUUUAUUUUUAAUCGCAUGACAAUUUACUGUCAUGUACAUUUGGCUCUUACAAAAUUAUUGCUUUAUCAGAACGGAUUCAAUAUUUUGCUGCUCUUAAUGAUCGAUGGGACGUACGAGUACUGUUCCCUUGUUCUGCGCUGUCCAUUGUUGGUCUCCUAGCGGUAGCGUGACCCUCAAAUCCAUCGCUGCUAGAACUUUCAAUCGUAUACGGUUCUGCAACUACAAAGCCCAUGCAGUUGCACCUUUUUCGUUGCCGCCUGAUAAGAAUUUUACUGUUUUUAUUGCAUUUAGGUAUCAAUAUUAAUAGUACUUG